AUUGAACGCUGGCGGCAUGCCUUACACGUGCAAGUCGAACGGCAGCACGGGGCAACCUGGUGGCGAGUGGCGAACGGGUGAGUAAUGCAUCGGAACGUGCCAUUGAGAGGGGGAUAACGUAGCGAAAGUUGCGCUAAUACCGCAUAUUCUGUGAGCAGGAAAGCAGGGGACCGCAAGGCCUUGCGCUCUUUGAGCGGCCGAUGUCAGAUUAGCUAGUUGGUGAGGUAACGGCUUACCAAGGCGACGAUCUGUAGCGGGUCUGAGAGGAUGAUCCGCCACACUGGAACUGAGACACGGUCCAGACUCCUACGGGAGGCAGCAGUGGGAAUUUUGGACAAUGGGCGCAAGCCCUGAUCCAGCCAUGCCGCGUGAGUGAAGAAGGCCUGGUGUAAG
rnacentral:rRNA from 1 species